rnacentral:lncRNA from 1 species
AGACAUUUUCUUAGAAAUAUAUUUAUAUACGUAUUUAAUAUAUUUUUAUAUUUUCUUUAGCAGGAUUAAGGGCAUUUGAUAUGGACUAUAUGCACUAUACUGAGAGUUUUUCUCCUCGUCUUCUCCACCAGGCCCCCGAUCGUCCAAACCAUCGUCCCUUGUUGUGUCCUCGCUUCUUGUCUCACAUGAACGCUCGUCCUGAGGAUCUCAGACCUCCUUGUUUCCUGAGCUCCAAGUCCAGACUGCAGCCUCCGUCUCAGGAGAAGAUGCUGAACACACACACGCUCACUGCCGCGCGGACACGAGCGCUGGAGGGUCACGUCCAUCUCAAUCCAGACGGAAGAAGGAACCGUGUGCAGAUGACCGGAAGCUCUCCUGCUGUAGUCGUCCCCUCUCUUCCGCUCCCUGCUGCUCCACCAUCAUCCACCUUUAACCCAACACCUCCCCACCUAAACAACCUUCACGACGACUUCGAGACGCAACAAAGUAAACCCGACUCUGUGCCAGCGUCUCCCUCCCGCCCUCAUCCUGCCUCGGAGGGAAAAGAGGAAUUUCACGAGAGGGAGCGAACACCUGCUGAGCUGUCCGUCACAGAGUCACCAGAACAAUCGCCGCCGCCGGCCUCCACCAUCUCACACGGGUCUCUGUCUGAUUUUAGUCGUCCACCAUCGAGCCUGUUCAGCCGCAGCACCGACCUCGCCAGUGGCAGCAGCAGCGUCCUGUCUGAUAUCCGAGACUCAGACCCUGAAGGCAGCACUUGUUUCUCUCCGCUCCGGCCUUGCUCGGUGAUGGAGUCACCUUCGGGCUCUUCCCCUCCAGCAGGAUGCAACCCUCGCCAAUCAUCCACGAACGCUACGGCCACGCCUCCACUCUGUGAACCCCUCCCACCUCGCCCAACGUCGGGUGUCCGUCCUCCGUCUGAUGAACCUCUGAGUAGGCGUGAAAGCGCAAAAACAGAGAAGCUCCACCAGGAUGCAUCUGCAGAUCCCGGCCUCCACCCGUCUUUGGACUCCGAUCACGGCCUCGUUACCUUGGCGUUCCCCUCCACUACUUGGUCUUCCUGCCCGAGUCCACAGAUGACCACUCCCCGCUCCGGGUCAGGACCAAAGCUGACCCCUCCUGCAUCAGUGACUCUGCUGGAGUCUCAUCGCUGGCCCGUCCUGCCUCCCAUCUCUCCUGUCAGAGAGUUGUCUCCAGGCCUGGCGGCGCUGACGGUGGGCUGUGACUCGGGGAAUCUGGGCUCCCUGUCCCGGGUCCAGCUGCUCCUCCUGGAUCGACCGGAGCCCGAUACCCCGCUGAGUCCCUUCGGUCAGGAAGAGGAGCUCUCACCGGGUCACUGGGCCGAC